rnacentral:lncRNA from 1 species
GAGGGGACAGGAGGGGCAGAACCAGAGUCAGGACAUUCAUUGGCUAAUUUCCUGUUCUUGGUCCCUCUCCCCCAUUAAGCCACAACCUCCCCCACACCAGAGCAGGCACCAGGUCCUCCUCGUCACAAGUGCCAGGCAUAAAGCAGGCACUCAAUAAACAUCCAGGAAGGAGACGGCAGGGGAGGAGGCGACAUGAUGACUCCAGGACCCAGAGUGGAGGGAGAACACUUUCAGUCGAAGGAGCCUGGGACCCUUGACACAGAAGUGACAUGUGCAUUCGGAACCUCUCUGUGGAAAACACAGACCCUUCAUGACACGCAAACUCGAAGCCGGUGAGGCCGAGUCUCAGGGCUGCGCCAACCAGGAAGCCUGGCUGUCCAAUGUUCCAAAUCUGGAUGUGAAAUGGACCAUGCAGACAGGACCCAAGGGGCAUGGGGGAGCUGGCAGAGGCACCCGGGACAAGUGGGGAAGCACCUGUCGGCCAGGAAGGUAGAGAGGCACCUACCCCAGAACACGGUGCCAGCGUCACACUCUUAUUAACAGAUGCAAUAACCACCUUCGGAGACCAGACCCCUCAAAGAGCACUCAGCCCACAAUGUGACGCAGAGAAACCAGAGACCCAGGCAGGGAGUGCACCCACGGGGACACUCCGAGGGUGGCCUCCUGCCUGCCCUGAUUACUUAAAAAGGAGAUUCUUGGAAACCUUUGCGGGCCCACAGGUGCACCCUGACUCCCAGGGAUGGGGGCUGAGCCACCCAGGAAACAAAUAUGAAAUCAAAGAUCCAGACAGCCCUGACCCUCCUGAUUCCAGGGUCCAUAAAUAAGUCAUUCUUAAAAUAGUGGUUGUUUUCUCUCUA